GGGAAUUGGCGCGGCUAUACAUGCAGUCGAGCGAACGGACGAGAAGCUUGCUUCUCUGAUGUUAGCGGCGGACGGGUGAGUAACACGUGGAUAACCUACCUAUAAGACUGGGAUAACUUCGGGAAACCGGAGCUAAUACCGGAUAAUAUUUUGAACCGCAUGGUUCAAAAGUGAAAGACGGUCUUGCUGUCACUUAUAGAUGGAUCCGCGCUGCAUUAGCUAGUUGGUAAGGUAACGGCUUACCAAGGCAACGAUGCAUAGCCGACCUGAGAGGGUGAUCGGCCACACUGGAACUGAGACACGGUCCAGACUCCUACGGGAGGCAGCAGUAGGGAAUCUUCCGCAAUGGGCGAAAGCCUGACGGAGCAACGCCGCGUGAGUGAUGAAGGUCUUCGGAUCGUAAAACUCUGUUAUUAGGGAAGAACAUAUGUGUAAGUAACUGUGCACAUCUUGACGGUACCUAAUCAGAAAGCCACGGCUAACUACGUGCCAGCAGCCGCGGUAAUACGUAGGUGGCAAGCGUUAUCCGGAAUUAUUGGGCGUAAAGCGCGCGUAGGCGGUUUUUUAAGUCUGAUGUGAAAGCCCACGGCUCAACCGUGGAGGGUCAUUGGAAACUGGAAAACUUGAGUGCAGAAGAGGAAAGUGGAAUUCCAUGUGUAGCGGUGAAAUGCGCAGAGAUAUGGAGGAACACCAGUGGCGAAGGCGACUUUCUGGUCUGUAACUGACGCUGAUGUGCGAAAGCGUGGGGAUCAAACAGGAUUAGAUACCCUGGUAGUCCACGCCGUAAACGAUGAGUGCUAAGUGUUAGGGGGUUUCCGCCCCUUAGUGCUGCAGCUAACGCAUUAAGCACUCCGCCUGGGGAGUACGACCGCAAGGUUGAAACUCAAAGGAAUUGACGGGGACCCGCACAAGCGGUGGAGCAUGUGGUUUAAUUCGAAGCAACGCGAAGAACCUUACCAAAUCUUGACAUCCUUUGACAACUCUAGAGAUAGAGCCUUCCCCUUCGGGGGACAAAGUGACAGGUGGUGCAUGGUUGUCGUCAGCUCGUGUCGUGAGAUGUUGGGUUAAGUCCCGCAACGAGCGCAACCCUUAAGCUUAGUUGCCAUCAUUAAGUUGGGCACUCUAAGUUGACUGCCGGUGACAAACCGGAGGAAGGGGGGGAUGACGUCAAAUCUCAGGCCCCUAUGAUUUGGGCUACCCCCUGUUAAAGGGACAAUCAAAGGGGAGCGAAACCGCGGGGCAGCAAACCCCAAAGUGGUUCCCCUUCGGAUGGAGUCGCACCCCACCCUGAGACUGGA
rnacentral:rRNA from 1 species